rnacentral:tRNA from 1 species
UAGUAAGGUAAGCUAACUCUUAAGCUCUUGGGCUCAUGCCCCAACAAUGUUGGUGAAAAUCCUUCCCUUACUACC